AUUCAUUGCUAUGAAAUAAUGGUUGCUAUUAGUGUUCCAGAUGUGUGAUGGCCUCACAGUCCUCCAACGGGCAAUGCUGCAGGAGAGCUCAGGAGAGGGUGGCAGUUUGUCAAAGAUGAUCGUUCAGAAUACAAGAGUCUGGAUGCCAUUGGGGAAGGAGUCGAGUUCAAUUUGCCAUUACUUCUUCAGCAGACUAGACAGGUUUGCAAGCUCUAAAACAGCCAAGGAAGAAACAGUGCCAGGGACUCUAAGAUGGUGCCAAUUUCUGAAGGUCCUAACCUUUUGGGAAAGAAAUGAAGACAGCUGAGACCGACAGCAGCGGAGACUGACAGCAGAAGGCAGACACAAGUACUCCUUCUCUACCCCCACCCCACUGCGUCCCCACCCCCAAUACGGCCCGUUUUAAUCUUCUUACUUAAUUAGCACUUAGCACACCAAACUUGACCAGCUUGUAUAUUUAUCUUUCUCCCCUAUUAGACUGUGAGCUUUUUGAGGGUAGAACACUGUGCCCAGCUGCUAUAACUCAGUACCUAUGCUGCUGCCUGAAUAAACGGAUGAACCACACUAAAUUUGGUUUAUUGACAUUUAUCAAACAUUCCUAAUGGAAGCAGUUGACAUUUAUUAAACAUUCACUGCAUGAUAGGCACAAGUUUAAUAGCCUAUGAGUUGGGUAUGAUUACACUGAUUUUAAACACACAGAAGCUAAAUAGCCAAAAGCUACUCAGUUGGUAAAUGAUGGAAUCGAGAUUAAAAGCCAGACAAUAUGACUUCAGAACUUGGGUUCUUAACCAAUACGAGUAUGCUUUUUUUUCUCUCUUCUAAGAUUCCUCUCAGCAGUAAAAUUCCAUGAUUCUGCAGAGGGAGGAUUCGUAUAGAACUCAAAACAAUGGCAAAAUCACUAGUACGACUGUCAGGACCAGUAGGGUUUAAAAGCAAAGGGGACAGUGUAAGGAGAGGCUGCAAAAGACCGGCACAUACGGUGGAGUGAAGGAAUGUGGAAAGGACAGCGGAACACAUACUAGAGGCCUCUCUGAGGAAAUGACAUUUGAAUUGAGACUUGAAAGGUAAGUAGAU